AUGGAGGCCAGGACUCCCGCGCACGCUGAAGAUGGCGGCAGCAGUGUGCAGGUUGCUCCGGGCCUCGGUUGCUCGACAGAAAUUGUUGCUUUUAGCGACAAAGCCAAUGAAUUUCGGGACGUGAACUGUGAAGUUGUUGCAGUGUCAGUGGAUUCCCACUUUAGUCAUCUUGCCUGGAUAAAUACACCAAGGAAGAAUGGUGGUUUGGGCCACAUGAACAUCGCGCUCUUGUCAGAUUUAACCAAACAAAUUUCCCGAGACUACGGUGUGCUGUUAGAAGGUCCUGGUCUUGCACUCAGAGGUCUCUUCAUAAUUGAUCCCAAUGGCGUCAUCAAACAUCUCAGUGUCAAUGACCUCCCAGUGGGCCGCAGUGUGGAAGAGACCCUCCGCUUGGUGAAGGCAUUCCAGUUUGUGGAAAUUCAUGGAGAAGUCUGCCCAGCAAACUGGACACCGGAUUCUCCUACAAUCAAGCCAAAUCCAACUGCUUCCAAAGAGUACUUUGAGAAGGUAAACCAGUAGAUCGCCCCAUGUGUACCUGCAGCUUCUCACACCAGAGAAGAACCACAGUUGGAACCUGCUUUUAGCAUUUAAGAGAUGAUUGUUUGUAGAAGGCAAAGAAUCAAUUAUGCUUAUAUUCAUAAAUACUACUCUUUUGUUUUUGUAAUACUGGCUAAGACUUUUUAAAUGUGGUUAGUUAUUAGUAUUAUAAAGAGUUCUUUAUUGGUAACAUCUUGAUGGCUAGCUAGCUAGUUUCUACAGAAUGCCUUGUUCACCUAUUUCUUAGAUCAUGUCUUCAAAGGGUAAAAGAAACACUCUUUUUGCUUAGCCUUAUUUAAACCUUUGUCUACACCAAAGUAGUACAACAAGUAUCAAAAGCCUCUGAUCAAGGGUCCUGAAAUUUUGUUUUUAAAUUUCUUUGUAUUACACUGAAUCUUCUUUUAAGGUAACAAGGAUCACAGUUUUAAGUUGUUAGCAUCAGCAGUCUAACUUAACAUCUCCCAAUGGAUGUAUGUGUGAUUGAAGAAAA